GUAGGCAUAGUUUUAACAAAAAUAUUAGAUUGUGGUUCUGAAGUUGGAGGUUAAAGUCCCCCUGCCCACC
rnacentral:tRNA from 1 species